CUCUGUUAGCACCAGGCGCAGCCAGGCAGGAGCAGGAGGUGGACAGGGCAGUCGGUGCCUGACUCUGGCCUGCUCUGGAAACACUAUUCCAGACUCUUCCCAGUUCUUGGCUGGCAUCCUGCAGUGAACUAGGAUUACAGAGCAAAUUGCAGGAACCUCAGUCUCGGUGGCCAGCUGUGGAGGAAGAGGGCUGCAAAAGUGACCCUGGAAACAGAAGGGGAAUUCUUAUAAAUCACAAAGGAAAAUAAAUAACUUCACCCAUGGAGGGAAAGAGACAGCUUGAGAAAAGAGACUUUGGAAAAAGGCUGUCUCUAGAUAGCAGUCUUGUGGAAUACAUGGACUCCAAUAAAUACAUUGAACACCUGCUGGCUCAGCUUGAGGAGCAGCACCGAAGUCUCUGGAGGGAGAAGUUGGCUGUGGCCCAGCUGCAGAGGGAAGUUGCCCAAAGAAGAAGUGAGGGGGCCAUGCAUGAGAAGCUGAUCCAUGAAUUGGAAGAGGAGAGACACUUACGUCUGCAGAGUGAGAAGCGGUUGCAGGAGGUGACCCUGGAGUCAGAGCGCAGCCGGAUGCAGAUGCGCGGCCUGCAGCAGCAGUUCUCCAGGAUGGAAGAAACAGUACGAAAUCUAUUGCAGAGUCAAGGACCUCCAGAACAGAAAAAAGAAGAAACUGUUAAUAUAAUGGUCUAUCAGGGAAAGCUGUCAGAGGAAGAGAGAAAACACAAAGAAGCUUUGGAAGACCUUCACAUGGUGGUAGAUGAGGAUUCGAGGAGUGAAGGCAGCAGUGCAGAUGAGGGGAAAGAAAAGACCAAAUUGCUGCUAGAAAGAUUGAAGGCUCUAGAGGCAGAGAAUUCAGCGUUGGCUUUGGAAAAUGAAAAUCAAAGGGAACAGUAUGAGAGAUGUCUCGAUGAGGUAGCCAACCAAGUUGUGCAAGCUCUGCUCACUCAAAAGGAUCUAAGGGAGGAAUGUGUAAAGUUGAAAACAAGAGUGUUUGAUUUGGAACAACAGAAUCGAACGUUAAGCAUCCUGUUCCAACAGCGAGUCAGACCAGCUUCUGAUCUGCUCCUCCAGAAACUUCACUCACGCAUCUUAGAUCUUUCAUCCGGGGCUUUGCUCUCAGAUGUGGAAAGAAGCCGAAGUCUGACGCAGUCACGAACUGAUGCUGAGAUGCACGAAUGCCAGCUGAACGCAAAACCAGGCACCUCUGCUUUGAAAUGCCCUGGCUUGGCGGUUGCCAUCCCUGGUCAUCUCUGUCCUCGAAAUAGCUGCAGCAGCAGCGAACUGUCCCUUUCGAGCACCUGCAGCGAGUACUCCAGCGGCUCCUCCUACACGUGGCAUGAUGGGAAGAACCUCAGGAAAAGGCAGUCAUCACAAAAUUGGGACAAAAGGUUAAGUAUUGACUCUUCGCUCCCCAGUGGCUUUGCUAGUCCUACAGAUGAACUACCUCCAACUCGUAUCAAGGAAAGCCACAUUUUGGAAGGACUCAGGAAGCUACAGAAGCAAAAAGUGUUACUCGAACCCCCAUCAGUGAUAACCAAAUGGGGUUAUAAAGAUUGCAUGAACUCAAAUGAAGGAAUCUAUUCUCCAGGAAUUAAAAGUAGCAGCCUCAAGGAAUAUCCCCCCUGCAAACCCAUGGACACGGGGAGCCCCUGCAAAGAGCCCCACAAGGCGUUUGUUUACGACACAGAUUCUCACGAUGAUGCGGAUGAGGACCCUUCUUCCCGAGCCGCACUCCCAGCACUUCCAAACCAGGGCUGCGGGCUGCACUGUUGUCAACUAACCCACAGUGUUUCUGACGGUCUCUUUGGCUGGGAGCCAAAUGGCAAAUGCUGUUCAGAAGGCACUUCCUCAGUCUGUCCCAGGGAAAGGCCUGAGAAGCUGACCAGUUGUGCCAGCAGCUGUCCCUUGGAGCAGAAGCUGUGCCCAGGUGUGCCGGUGCCGCAGGUGCAGAGAGAGAGGGGCCCACACGGCCAGGGCCGCCUGGCUCUCAGUGUCCAGCUUUCAGACACCGAUGACAGUGAAACUCUGGACGAGCUGCACAUCGAGAGCAGCGAUGGGAAGAGCCCUUCCGACGUGUCCUUGACUGCCGACACUGACAAGUCAACGGAGAAUCUGGACAUCCUCUUGGGAUUGGGAAGAUCUCAACGUGGGUCUCCAGAGGAGCAGGAAAAGCAAGUGCCCAUCCCCUUAGAGAGUAGGCCAAAGACCUUUAGUUUCAUUAAGCAGCAAAGACUUGUAAAACGGACUUCCUCCGAAGAAUGUAUCACUGUGGUUUUUGAUGCGGAAGAUGGCGAGCCCAUUGAGUUCAGCUCUCACCAGGCAGGCACUGUCACUGUCACCAGAAAUGAAAUCUCCAUCAAUCAGGCCCCUGCUAGACCCCAGGCCGAACACACUGAACUUUUACCUCAGGGAAUUGCUCAUUUCCAGCCAGGAGCUGCUGCAAGAGACUAUCCCUUCUUCAAGAGGUCAGAAGAGGAAACUGAGGAAAACAUUCCAAAAGCCGAGGUAGAUGAUGUUCCCGAAGCUCCCACAGGCUCUUUCCACCCCAGGACAGGGGCACAAAACACUCAGCGACAAAGACUGGCCAAACCAGCACACAGUCCGUCAUGCCAGAGGAAUUCCAGGUCCUUGGUGCCCACAGGCAUCUAUCAGAAGAAAAGUCUGACAAAAAUACCUACCAGGGGCAAGUCUUCACCUCAGAAAUCAAAAAUCAUGGAGCCCGAGGCCUCCAUAACUGUCCUCUCCGCUGGCCCGGUGACUCCUGAAAAAUCACCAGCUCCAGGGAAACUCUCACGAUUCAAAAAGACUGAAGGCCCAGCACCCCUCUUUGAUUUACAGCCAGAUUCACACAUUCCGAAACACCCCACCCAACUCCCUUACAGCUCCAGCAUGUCCAGCAGAAGGGAUUGGGCCCAGUGCUCCACCAGACAGAUUCCAGCAUCACAGCUGCUGUCCAGGCCCCUCGCUGAGCCACAUGACGAUGGAGAGCCCCCCACGCGGGAUGCACACUGUGACCCUGGGCCCGAGGCAGGGCUGAAAUCACCCUCCCCUCCCUCCCCUCCAGGCAGGUCGGUCUCCCUACUCAUCAGGCCUAGUUAUGACUAUUUGUCACCAUCUUCAUCUGCCAAGCCCGAGACCAGAGUCCCCAGUGAAACAGCAAGGACAGUAUUUAAAUCCCCUCCUCUGAAAGGAUCCUCCACUCCUAUUAUUUAUUUUAAUCAGACCACGACAGAAGUGCAGGGGAGGAAACCUUCUCUGACCUUCAAAAAGCCCAUCUUCUCUCGCCCUCUGCCCUCCGCAGAAACAGUGACCCCAACCCGAUGCUCUGCUCAUGCCCCCUCCAACUCAUUUGCUGUGAUGGCCUCAGGGCCCCCAAAGGUCUCUCCAAAGAGAAGUGUCCCCAAAACCCCACCUCACCAAACCCUGGGGACCACACAAACAGACACAGGGUUACGGACUUCCAAGAACUGUCCUUCAACCCACGAGCCACUGGAAAUACCAUCCUCGAAAAGUGUAUCUCCAAGGAGAAAAGGACAAUUGAAUGACAGUGUCUCCACGUCACUCAAGCCUUCCUUCUUAGGGGUAAGUGAGUCACCAUCAUCUCAGGGUAACAGUCCCUCCUCGUCAGCAUCCUCCAAAAGCCAUAACUUCCCGCAUGGUUGUCAAAGCCCUCAUGAGCGAGGGCUGAAAACUCGCCUCCCAGUUGGGCUCAAAGUUUUCAUGAAGUCUCCCCAGUUGCUCAGGAAGAGUUCCACGGUGCCAGGGAAACAUGAAAAAGACAGUCUAAAUGAAGCUUCUAAAAGUUCUGUGGCCAUGAGCAAGGCUAAGCCAGAGGCCUCCAGGAAUCCAACUGGCCUUGACACCACAGGAGAUGAAAGAAAUGUGUCUCCACUGGAUUUGCAAGCACCGGGUAGUUUGGCCGAAGGGCCUCCUCCAGAAAGAGCAAUGCCAGAGUCACUGGCGAACAGUAUGCCUGGGGCUGAUGGGAAAGAUCGGGUAGAAAACAAGUGUGGGAAAAGAUCCCUCUCCUCCAAACCACACCUGAAACCAGCUUUAGGCAUGAACGGAGCCAAAGCCCGCAGCCAGAGUCUCAGCACUCACGCAGGAGACAAGCCCUCGACGCCCCCCAUGGAAGGAGGGCCAGGAAAGGUCCGAACUCAGAUUAUUACCAACACUGCUGAGAGAGGGAAUUCCCUCACCCGGCAGAGCUCGUCCGCCUCCACGGAAGGUGCUCCCGACAAGACGGCAUCUGCCCCGACGUCGGACAGUCUCCCUGGUGCCGGGAGGCCUCUGGGGCAUCCGUCCUCCGGGCACGGCUCCCUGGGGAGCACAGGCAGCUCCAGCAACCAGCAAGGGAGCCCAAGUAAGCUGCCUCUGAGGAUCCCUCCAAAAUCUGAAGGGCCCCUCACCCCACCUGGAGCAGAAGAGCCACAGGCCUCGGCCCAAGGAGAAAGCCCCAGGGUGACUGGGCCUGGGGAGCCAGGCAGCGACCGCUGUGGGUGCCCACCCACCCCAACAGAUGGCCCACGAGUCCCGCAGAGUCCAGGGAGGACCCGGUGUCCCAGCAGUCUUGAACCAAGCAGGACCUCCAAGCUCGAAACUUCUGGAAGGUUUCCAGACACUUCUACCACCAGGACUGGUGUUGUGAGCCCCGAAGCCCCCCUCUCACCCACAAUCGAAGAAAAGGUCAUGUUGUGCAUUCAGGAGAACGUGGAAAAGGGCCAAGUGCAAACAAAGUCCACCUCUGCGGAAGCGAAGCCGAAGCCAGGGCCUUCUUUUGCCAGCUGGUUCGGUUUUCGGAGGAGCAGACUGCCUGCUCUCAGUAGCAGGAAAAUGGAUGUCUCCAAAACCAAAGCAGAAAAGAAAGAUGUGAAAGGUUUGGGGUUUGGAAACAAACAGCUAAAAUCAGAGCGAAGAAAAGAAAAAAAGAAGCCCGAGUUACAGUGUGAGAUGGAAAAUGAACUUAACAGGGACAUUGAGUUGGCAGAUGGUCCAGACAGUGGUUUACAAGGCAGAAGUAACCUGAAAACACCGCCAGAUAUUUUUGAGCAAAUGAAGUUGGAAUCGAGAAAUAGACCCAGCCCUGUUCCGUGUUCAACAAAAGAUACCUUUAUGACGGAACUUCUGAACAGAGUUGAUAAGAAAGCAGCUCAACAGACAGAAAGUGGAUCAAAUAAUGUUUCCUGCAGGAGUGUGUUAAAGGGCAGCUCCCAGGACUCCUGUCUCACCGGCAGCUCCAUCAGCACUCAAGGAAGCCACAAGAAAAACAUCAAAACCAGAGCUGAUAUGGAAAUACCGAAGGGCUCCCUGAUAAAAGAGGCAAGUGAACACCUGCAAGAGGAUGAGGAAGAUACAGCUGCAAAUUCUGCAUUUCAGAGCCACAGCAUAGAAACGAACUGCCAGAUGAGGACACUGGACAGUGGGAUUGGAACCUUCCCACUCCCAGAUUCGGGAAGUCGCUCAGCAGGACGGUACUUAUGCCAGCCAGACUCCCCAGAGGACCCUGAGCUGCUCCUGUCUCUCCAGCCCACCCUUUGUACAGCUUCUGCCAUACGAGCCCAGACGCUUGAACGAGAAGUGCCAUCCUCUGCAGACAGCCGGGGCUCUGCAGACAGCGCCAUUGUUCAUUCCACCUCUGACCCCAUCAUGACUGCCAGAGGGAUGCGACCUCUUCAGAGUCUCCUCCCCAAACCAGCCUCCUCAGGAAAAAUCAAUUCCCAAAUGCAGAAUGAAGCCGAGCCGAGGCCUCAGACUUGUUCGUCCUUCGACUACCCUGAAAACACCAUGGCCAGCGAGCCACUUCCAGCCUGGGGGGGCGACAGCACGGCUGCCCAGACCCAGAAAUUGAAACAAGCUGAAGAAACCAGAGAAGAUCCCGAGACUAGAUUAUGUAAAAUUUCCCUGGAGUCUUUCAAUAAAUAUAACAGCAAUACUGUGAUUUUAUUACAAAAAGAGAAGAACUCUCUGAGCAAGGUUGAAGGACAAAAGGAAGAAAAAGAAAAAAAUGAAGAGGCUUCUUUGAGUAGCUCCGAUAGGCCUGGGGUAGACAAUUUGGAAUCUUUGAGUGAUUCUUUAUAUGAUAGCUUCUCUUCCUGUGCAAGUCAGGGUUCAAAUGAUGUAUAAAGGACUUUUUUCUUCCCUUAGUGAGCUGGAAAUGGAGCACUUAAGAAACAGGGGUGGGGAGGGGGGCAGGUAGAGAUGACAACAGUAAACGAUUGCAGUACCAGAGCCCACGCUGUCAGUCACAGCGAGCAGCCACUGGCGCCUGCUUCUCUGACAGGGCACUAAAGACACCCUAUCUGUUGUGUUCUGUGAGGAGUAAAAGUAAACACACCCACGAUACAGAAGUCUUAAUUUUGCACUUUUUUAGGAAUACGUGUACAGAAGUUGUAAAUUUGGGGGGAAAAGAAAUUAUAUUUGUUGCAAAAAAAAAAAGAACAGCAAUAAAUUGAAUCAGUGCCAUGCUCUUGAAAUGAUGUACUAAGUCUUAGAAGUUGAUGAUAAUAUAUUUUUUAAAAAUUCCAACUCAAGUUUUGGUUCAGGUCAUUGUCCCAGUCCUCAAAUUGUUUGUGGGUACACUCCGUGAACUGAAAACAGGGCCGGCUGGAAAACCAGAGCGCUCUCUGUACAGUCUCCAUCUUACAAUCUCAGUCUGAUAGAAACUAAUUCUAGUGCAAUUUCAAAGUUGUUGCCAGAGAGAUUCAGAUUCUAAUAAUAAAUGUAACUCUUUUACUGAAAACUAUAAAGGUACUGAAGUGUGACACUGAUCAGAAGCAAUGUGUAUCAGAAAUGCUGUAAUUGUUUUCCCUCCAAACAUUUCCUUACAUCUUCUACUUAGUGUAUCUCUGUAAUUCUCAACAUUAUUUGUUGAUUUUUAUCUUCUUGCGCUUUUUAUUAAAAUCUGGGCAAUCUAGAAAUGAAAGCAAAUUCCUAUUUGCGAUGUUCACUUUGUAAAAAAUUUAAAAGGUUGGUGCUAUGAAAAAUUCUUACUUUUUAAUAUCCUUUUUUCUACAAAAUCUGUUUAUAUGUAAGGAUAAAUUCUAUUUUAAAGGUUACCAUGUAUUUUUUCUAGAUGUGCACUAUUUAUAAUGGCUUUUGUACAGGAGCUUGUAAACUAGGCAUAACAGAAAUAUUUUUAGGAUCUAUAUGGUGACUUUAGUUACACACUUGUUUCUUUAAAGAGUGUUGUAUGAUCAGUGUUAUUUGGUUAAUUUGUGCAAUUUGUUAUAUUUGAAUUUUGUUGUCUUAAAUGAAAAUUGUGUCAUUGUCUUUCAGAUUUAAGAUUCUUUUAAUUUCUGAAUAAAAUUUAUAUCAAUCAGUCGCACCCUCUGAAAACUUAAAAGAACCUGUUCAAGGACCCUUUGGCCCAAUUAGUUAUUUGAAUCUCACACGGGCUUCAAAGACGAAUUCCCCUAAGGAAUAAACAAACUAAUAAACAAACCGGCCCUGUUGCUCCAGAAAUAGCAAUUCAGACAAUUGUAAGAUCUGCGCCUGAAGACUGGGGAGUAAUGGUCAAAGCAUUUUCGUCUCCCUGAGGGGUUAACCAACUAGAAAUGAGAGAAGGAGGGGGGCAAAGGGAGAGAACAAGCCGGAGGCAGACGGUGAACGAUCUCUCCCGAGGAAUUACAAGAAAGUCAUUUAAGCCCAUUUCCGGCCCUGCUCUGCUGGCUGGCUGGGGAGAUAAAUGAUCAGCGUCCCGGCCUAAGAGAGCUUCCUCCAAGAGGAGGCCGGGGGAGAAGAGGGUGAAGAGGGGCAAAGCUUUUGAAGCCGUUUCCACAGACAUGGAUACCCCCUGGGGUUUGGGGGGAAGGGAGUGGGUACGUGCGGGAUUGGGGGCGGGGACUCCGAGGCGCUCCGCGCGGGCCAGCGGGCUCCCCGUACCACCUGCUGCAGGGCUCUGCGUCCAGAAACGCCAACGUAGCACGGUGGCGUCCUCGGGAGUACUCCAGGCUAGGGUACCAGGGCAGUGUCACAGCAUCCUCCAGCGGUGCGCACGGCGGAUGAACCGACGGUUGCCCCGAGUCAACGCGCCGAGCUGGGCAAGGUCCCCACCACACCCCGCCCACUCCACCGCAGCUGAAACCAAUCCGGGUAACGACCUAAUGACC